GUGCAGCUUUUCCUUCUCCUGGGCCUCUGCCAAGGGCAGGUGCAGGGUGGGGAAGUCAUUGUCCCUGCUCUGGGGGUGGGAGGAGCCGGGACGGACUGUUCAUCAGAGUCUGAGUAAGGGCGCCUGGGGAGCCCCUCGACCGGGAAAGCGUCUACCUCGAGCGGCUCCGCCCUGGCACAGUGCCCCCAGAGCAGGUCACUGGGCCUUCGGACCUCACAGCGUGGUGGGAGGCAGCCUGGGACGGCCUGGGGAGGGCAGUGAGAGGGGCUGUUGUCCUGAGGGACCCGAACCGCACCUCUGGUUGUCCAAGGGAAGAGUUAGGUUUAAGAAGGAGACCAAACCCAGGCCAGGAGGAUCUGGAAUAUUUUAAUUGGUGAGUCAUUUCUAAAGGGACUGCUGUUUGACCAGGACAUCCUGGAGCUUAAAGUUGUGUCCUGCAGACCAAGUUGAGAGACUUAAAAAAAAUAUCAAGAAUGGAAAAUACUGGAAAAUGAGCUGGAUAAACCGGGCGCACCCACUGGUGUUUCCCACCUGACGAGGCCAAGAGGAUCUGGAAUACAUUCCUUUGUCGAGCCUUUUCUGAAGGGACUUCCCUGUGGCUAGUCAUCCAGGACAUACCAUUUUGGCAAGGCCAGCCAGGAGAGUCAAGCUUGCAUCCCGGAGACCAAGGUCUGGAGGACAAUGCCAGCACCCUUUCCAAGUGACGGGCACCCAGGCUUGGCGAUGUAAGGCACAGAGCUUCUGAGACCCAAGGAGCCUCCCCGCCCAUCCUGAAUCUUCCUACUUUCAGGGCUCUGUGGCCCCCAGCAGGGACAGUGGCAUCAGGACCCGGGCGGAGUUCAGGCCCACCCACCACUACCUGUCAGAGGAAGCAGUCACAGAAGUGCUCAGGAGCACAGGGCAGGACUCUGGGGUCACCUGUCCCCCAGCUGUGAGAGAUCAGUCCUAGCCCAGCCCCUCCCCUGCCGUGGGUGGCACGCCUGUCCUUGCAUAGUCCCAGGGGCCUGGAGUUACCAGUGCUGUGAUUUCACACAGCUCAUCCUGCAGCGGGCCCAGCUUCCCGGCCAGCGCCUUCUUCUCCAGCCGCUCUGAGAUGCAGCGCGAUGGUGAUCUGAAUGUUUUCUUGUCUCUGCGGAGAAUGGGAAUCAAUGGCACCGAGACAGCCAGGCCCAAGUCGCCAACCUGGCUGACCCUGGGGCGGGCAGAGUGGAGAAUCAUCCCCUGUCCCCAGCAGAGGCUCCAGCAGGAUUCUGCCUCACGGGCACCUUCACAGUGGAGGCCUGCAGAGCGCCAUUGUGCUGUGGGGAGAGGGGAACUGUGCUGCUCUGCCUUAAAGGACCUGGUGGGGAGGAGACCUGGAGCAUCGGCCACGCACCAGCCGUGGGACUCUGUCCUGCAUCUGGGCCAGCUGCUGCCUCAAUUCUUCGAGCUCUAUCUUCAUCUCAACUUCCUCCGAGAACCCAGCUGGGGGCUGCAGGGCUGGGGGCACUGCUGAGAAGGGAAGUAGUAGUAAAGCUCUGGGCCUCUCAGUGCUCAGCCCUCAGUUCAGGCUCCUUGCCCCAAACCUUGGCUUCUUCAUGAAUGACUUCUCCUGCCCAGUGGAGGCCGGUCUUGAAAAAGCGCUUUCCCCUACCGUUCUUGUGUGGGGUUGGCAGUGGGCACAGCACCCUUCUCUCCUCUGGGGACCCAGAGGCUCAGAUAGAUGACAGGAUUGCUGGCUCCUGGCACAGAGCCCUUUCUGUUUGGCCCAGUGCCCUUGAAUGCACCUCACUCCUUGGGUCAGUGUAAGCCACACCCCAGCCAGGGUUCAGAUCCAACUCCCAGGUCACACUUGUCCUCAGUCACUCCAUUCUUGUUGGAGUUCCAUCAAGCCCUGCUCCAGCUCCUCCAUUUUCAUGCCAUGCUCUUCUGUGGCCUCGUUCAGUGCCCUCAGCUGCCGAAGGCACUGGGCCCAGUCAUCAGGGGGGGACUGCUGACCUCAGGCCCAUCCAUCCCCCAAGUGUCCGUCCCCUCUCCCCACUUCUGGGGUGCAGUGCAGUGUGCUGCACCUCGUUCAUCACCCUUUGCUGCUCAGUGACAAACUUCCUAGGGGUGGAGACACAGGGUCAGGGUGCAGGUAGCUGCAUGGGGAAGAGGCUCAGGGGCCCUGCCCUACCCUGACCCCUCAGCCUAGCGACUGCUGCCCCACGAGCAGACACUCCCUUGUUCUCCUGGAGGAGCCUGCGCCCCCUGGCAGCAUCCUGGCUCUGUUCAGAGAGGAAGAUAGGAGCGGGGAUUCCACUUCCAGGAAGACUCCCCCAGGGGCGGCCUGAGCCCAGCUCCCUGCCAAGCCUCCACCUCCCAGACCUCACACCCUGGGGUCUGUCAGAGAGCCUGAGCGUAAGUGGCUCUUCUCACCGGCCUGGCUUGCCUUGAGGCUGAGCAAAAUCCAAUACCAGCUACCAUUUACUGAAUGCUUGCUCUGUGCGGGGCCCGAGGAGAUGACACAAAAUGGCGUCAGUUCAACACCAGGAGUGUGCGUCUGAUCCCCCCUCGUAUUUAAUGGCACAGCUGCUGAUGCGACCCAGGGCUUGGUAUAAGCUUGUCCCAUACCCGACCGCUGAGCUGUAACAGAUCUGGCCCUCAAAUGCAGAUUUCUUACCCUGCACCUGACCGUUCUCACGCGAUCCCUGACCCUCUACUGCCAUUGAAGCCCCAUCCCCAGCAGCCCAGGCAGUGGUGACUCACCUUGUCAGGUGGGUGACAGGCUCCUCCAGUGGAUGUACCUGUUUACCAAGCCCAUUGUGGAAUGCUUUGCCUGCUUGUCUCUUGUCAGAGCUUUUCUACUGCACACAACAGAAGCAGUAAUGCAGAUGAACAUGUUGAGCCCCAGCCAGCAAUGCCCACAUGCCAGUCCUUGGAGGCCAUCCUCCUUGAGCUCACGGUUGUGCAGGAGUGAUCCAUUUGUGGUGUUACGCUUGCUCUGCGUGGGAUGCAGGAUGCUGUUGUUCUCUCCCUUCUUGGCCCACAACACAACCUUGAGGUCCAGCUUGUGCAGCCGCUCCUCCUGCCCCCCAGCUUUCUCAGACACAGCCUGGAGCUUGCUUUCUCUGGGCACUGAGCUGCACAGAAACAAGCUCCAGCUGCCUCUUAGUUGUUGGCACUUGCACUACAACCAUGUUUUAUCCUCCAAGUUCCUGGCUUUUAGAUCUACCUUGGUUUCAUGACCAAAGAUUUCUCCUUCCCAGAUGAUGGCCAGUAUUGAAGCCAGUUUCUCCUAGGGUUCCCAUGUGGGGUUGGCAGUGGGCACAGGUUCACAGUGCUUCUUUCCACAGCUAA